rnacentral:tRNA from 1 species
GGAUUUAGCUCAAUGGUAGAGCACUUGCUUGCCUAGCAAGCACAAGGUCCUGGGUUCGGUCCUCAGGUCCA